CACUAUGCCCAGCCUUAAACAUAAACGGUUCCCUACACUAUCCCGUUCGCCUGGUAACUACGAGCUCCACAGUAUUUAAGCUUAAAAACCAAAGGACUUGGCGGUGCUUCAUAACCCCCUAGAGGAGCCUGUUCUAUAACCGAUGAUCCCCGUUAAACCUCACCCUUUCUUGUUCCUUCCAGCUUAUAUACCGCCGUCGUCAGCUCACCCCGUGAGGGCCCUACCCUAUAAAGUGAGCACAAUUGGUUUAUGCCCAACAAGUCAGGUCGAGGUGUAGCAGAAGAAAGGGGAAGAAAUGGGCUACAUUCUCUACAACAGAGAAUACGGAGAAUAGUCCUGAAAUAAGACAUUCGAAGGUGGAUUUAGCAGUAAGUGGGGAGCAGAGUGCCCCUCUGAAGCUGGCUCUGAAGUGUGUACACACCGCCCGUCACUCUCCCCCAGCACCCUCGCCAUAAAUUUACAUAAAACGCAAGAGCAGCAUAGGGGAGGCAAGUCGUAA
rnacentral:rRNA from 1 species